UCCUAUUUAGUCCUAGAGGGAAAUCAGC
rnacentral:piRNA from 1 species